CCCAUGCUAAUGUAUACAGAGCGUAGUGUCACGGGAUGAGUGUUUUGCGCAGCUAACCCGUGCGGCACUUAAACAACUUUGCCGAAUGUUGCUAAGUAAGCCUAGAGAUUCUCGAACAAGAGAAGAGAGAGCAAUUGAGCCAAAGAAACUUGUAUUGCACAAAGAGAGAUUACAAUGCUUGUUGGAUACAAAUGCCAAAUGCCAUCCCAUAUUUAUAGGGGAGGCUUUACCUAACUUUGCCUAACUUUGCCUAACUUUGACAAACUUGGUCAAACUCUAGAAUAUUAUACAAUUUCCUAGCUAUUUACAUGUGCUGGAAUUGUAUAAAGUAUUCUAGAAUAUUUACAUGUUCACAUGUGCUAGAGUUGCCUAGAACCUUCCGGAAUUGGGCCAAGCUAGCACUCUUGGCCUUGUGUUGGCUCUCUAGCCCGAAAUUGUGGGCAAUUGGGCUAGCGAAUUGGGUGGUCCGUAACAUCCUCCCCCACUUAAGCUCGCGGCGUCCUCGUCGCGUUCUCGUGCAUGAAGUGCUGGAUGUGCUCAGCGAAUUGCCACAAAUCAUCUUCCCGUUCCCAAGUGGCUUCGCUCUCGGGGAGGUUUUUCCACUUCACCAAGUACUCGCUAUGUGCUGGCACGCCCCUCCUCGAAACCGUUCGGUCCGCAAUGAUGUAGUCCACAUCUUUGUCGAAUGCGGUGACAACGGCAGUUGGCGCGCGCCUCGAUUCUCCGCGACUUGGUUCUCCCAUGUCUUCGUGAUAUGGCUUGAGAAGGCUUACAUGGAAGACCGGAUGGAUCUUGAGUCUUGGCGGAAGUUGGAGUUGAUACGAGACGUUGCCUACACGUCGAACAACUCGGAAGGGUCCCUCGUAGCGCCUCACUAACCCCUUGUGAACUUUCCGCAAAGUCUUGAAUUGUUGGGGUAGGAGCUUGAUCAUGACUUGAUCACCUUCCUUGUACUCAACAUGCCGUCUCCUUGUAUCCGCCCAUUUCUUCAUUUUCCUCGCGGCUUUGUCGAGGUAGGCUCGCGUGAUGUCCGCUUCCUCAUGCCAUUCGCGGGCGAGCUUGUGUGCCGCGGGGCUUUUCCCUCCGUAAGUCGAGGCUAUGGCAUUGGGGGUCAUGGGCUGGAAUCCCAUGAUGAUCUCGAAUGGACUCUUGCCCGUAGCCUCGCUUCGCUGCAAGUUAUAAGAAAAUUGGGCAAUGUCAAGUAGCUUUGCCCAAUCCCGCUGGUGAGCGCUCACAUAAUGCCUCAAGUACAUCUCGAGAAGGCCAUUGAUGCGCUCGGUCUGCCCAUCCGUUUGUGGGUGGAAGCUUGUCGAGAACUUGAGAUCGGUCCCCAACAUCUUGAAGAGCUCCGUCCAAAAACGCCCAGUGAACCGAGGGUCUCGGUCGCUCACAAUGCUCUUCGGAACUCCCCAAAGCUUCACAAUGUGCUUGACGAAUAGGCGGGCUGCCUCAUCCGCUUUGCAAUCGACGGUGCGGCAAUGAAUGUAGCAUACUUGCUGUAUCGGUCGACAACGACCAUGAUGCUACCGCAACUUUCGGACUUGGGCAGCGAUGUGAUGAAGUCCAUGGAGACACUCUCCCAUGGCCUUGUUGCUAGUGGUAGCGGCUCUAACAAUCCCGCUGGAAGUUGAUGAUCCACCUUGUCUUGUUGGCACACAAGACAAGUUCGCACAUAUGCCUCGAUGUCGUCCCUCAUGUGCGGCCAAAAAUACGAGGUUUGAACUAGUGCGGUGGUGCGCUCGAUUCCUGGGUGACCAGCCCACUUAGAGUCGUGGCACUCCUUGAUUACUUCCUUCCGCAAGUUUCCCCACCUUGGCACGAACAGCCGAUCUCCCUUGGUGAGGAGGAUGCCUUCCUCUUGCCAAAACCGCCUUGUCUUUCCCUCGAGCACCUUCUCCAGCAAAUCCUUUGCUAGCGGAUCUUGUUGGAGGCCUUCCUUGAUACGUGAGACAAGGUCAGACUUCGGUUGGCUCAUGCUAAGUGUUGCCAAUUCCGCCUUGCGGCUUAGAGCGUCUGCAACAACAUUGGCUUUCCCCGGUUUGUACUCUAGCCGAUAGUCGAAUUCCGCAAGGAAAUCUUGCCACCGCGCUUGCUUCGGACUCAACUUCUUCUGAGUUUGAAAGUAGCUUGUCGCCACGUUGUCCGUCAUGAUCGUGAAGUGUGAGCCAAGCAAGUAAUGUCGCCACACUCUUAGACAAUGGAUGAUGGCUGUCAUCUCCUUUUCUUGCACCGUGUAGCGGCGUUCCGUAUCAUUUAGCUUUCGACUCUCGAACGCUAUUGGGUGGCCUUCUUGCAUAAGGACUCCACCUAUGGCGAAAAUCCGAGGCAUCCGUUUGAACUUCGAAGGGCUUGGUGUGGUCCGGAAGAGCGAGGACUGGUUCCUCUGAAAUUGCCUUCUUCAACUCCUCGAAUGCCCGUUGGCACUCUUCGGACCAAUGCCAUGUUCUGUUUUUCUUGAGCAUAUCCGUCAAGGGUGCCGCCUUGGCUGAAUAGCCCUUGAUGAAGCGACGGUAGUAGUUCACCAGCCCAAGGAAUGAGCGAAGCUCGGGUACUUUCGAGGGAGGCUCCCAUUCGAAGAUGGCCUUUACUUUGUCAUUCUCCAUCAUGAUCUUCCCGCCCGCAAUCUUGUGGCCAAGGAACUCCACCUCUUGUUGGGCAAACGAGCACUUCUCUAGUUUGAGGAAGAGCUCAUUGUCUCGAAGUACUUGGAGGACUUGUUGCAAGUGUUGGGCAUGCUCCUCGAGCGUGGUGCUAUACACCACUAUGUCAUCCAAGUACACGACCACGAAGCGGUCGAGGAAUGGUUGGAGCACCUUGUUCAUGAGUGUGCAAAAUGUGGCGGGUGCAUUAGUAAGGCCAAAAGGCAUCACAAGAAAUUCGAAAGACCCGUACCUUGUUGUGCACGCUGUCUUUUGUUCAUCUCCCUUGGCGAUGCGCACUUGGUAGUACCCGGAGCGCAAGUCAAGUUUGGUGAAGUACCGCGCUUUACCAAGCUGGUCGAACAAGUCCGCAAUCAAGGGAAUCGGAUACUUGUUCUUGAUGGUGAUUUUGUUGAGCGCUCUAUAAUCGAUGCACAUCCGCAGCGAUCCAUCCUUUUUCUUUUGGAAGAGGACCGGUGCACCGAAUGGGGCCUUUGAGGGGCGAAUGUAGCCUGCGUCCAGCAAGUCUUUGAGUUGUCUCCGCAACUCCUCUAAUUCGGGUGGCGCCAUGCGGUAGGGCGCCAAGGCUGGUGGCUUCGCGCCUUGUUCCAGCUCGAUUGCAUGAUCCACCUCUCGCAGAGGUGGGAGCUUCUUCGGAAGUUCUGGAGGCAUCACGUCCUUGUACUUACUGAGGACGGCUUGAAUUUGCGGAGGGACUUGGCUUGGCGAAGUUCCGCUAUUUCCUUCCUCAUUUAGUUCCCGAAUGGAGACUAAGAAGCUUGGGUCCUUCUUGAAAGCCUUCUUGAAUUGCAUGGCGGAGAGUGUCUUCUCUUCGGACUUGCCUCGUUCCGUGGGAACCAUGCAUGCUUUACUCCCGUCGAGGAUACUUAGGGAGUUUGUAGCGGGCAGCGGGAAGGCAUGGACUUGGUCGAAGAAUUCCAUGCCGAGGACCAUCUUGAAGUCAUCCAUGGGCACAAUGGAGAAGUCAAGCUUUCCGCUCCACGUACCGAGUGUGAUGUGCACGCCUUGUGCAAUUCCCGCAAUUGGCUUGGCGGGUGAGUUUACUGCCUUCAUUGUGCCUCCUUCCUUGGUGGCCUUGAGGCCUAAACGCUUGGCCUCAUCUACAGACACGAAAUUGUGUGUUGCUCCCGUGUCUAGCAGUGCGCGAACGGACUGACCGUUUACCUUUGCGCUUACAUACAUGAGCCCUUUCUUGACGAGUGCGGGCUGUUGGCGAUUGAGUGCGCCGAGGCGUUGGAGAGAACCCAUGCUGAGUUGGGGUUCCUCCGUGGACAUUGUGGGGUUACUCUUGAGUUGGGCAGCAAGAGCGUUAAGCGACCUCUUCUCCGGACAGUCGCGCACCCAAUGAGGACCAUUGCAUAUGAAGCAUGGGCUUCGCGGCUUUGGCGCCUCCUUCUUGCCCUCCGAUUUUCCUUGCCAACUCUUGUUGCUAGGUGGCUUUUUCUGCCCCCAAUCUUUGCGGCUGUUGUUCUUGUCCUUGCGACUCUCUCCCCCACCUUUGCCUUGGUUGGCCUUUUUGUCCUUGGAUUGGGUAGAGUAUUCAGUGAGCGACUCCGCAACGGCAAUGGCGUCGUCAAGUGUUUGAACACCACGCCUAUCAAGCUCGGUCUUGGCCCAAUCCUUGAGGCCAUCUUGGAAGUAGAAGAGUGAAUCCUUGUCGGACAUGUCGCUUAUCUCCAACAUGAGGGUAGUGAACUCGUUGAUGUAGUCCCGAAUGCUACCCGAUUGCUUGAGGCGACGUAAGCGCACUCGCGCUUCCUUCUCCGCAUUGCUUGGGCGAACUGCUUUCGGAGUUCUUGCUUGAAGUCGGCCCAAGUGUCGAUGGCGCAAAUGCCCUUGCCCAUCUCGCCAUGCUUGCGACGCCACCAUAGUUGUGCAGCGCCUCUAAGAUAGGUGGGUGCAGUGCCCACUUUCGAUGCCUCAUCUCGAACACCCAUGGCAUCGAAGUAUUGAUCCAGCCCAAAGAGGAAAUUGUCCACGAUGGUGGCAUUGCGUGUGCCAUCGUAGGUGUCGGGCUUUGGCACGUCAAUGCGGCGCGCAUCACUCGAGUUUGCGGAAGCUGGACUUGUGGAGAGUGUGCGCUUGUGCCAUGCCCAAUCCGAGCGGACUUCAUCCACUUCCGCACGGACAGCACGUAGUUCUUCCUGAACAAAACUACGAAGUUUGAGCAACUCAUCAUGGAAAGAACGAAACUCACCUCGGAGAAUGUUUGCUUGCUCAUGGAUGAGAGCUUUUGUGGCCACCGUGAACUCGGCGUAUUCUCCCUCGAGACCAUCCACUCUUUCCUCCAAUCCCACGAGGCUAUCUUGAGUGGCGGACAAUGCUAUUUCGAGAGUGCCUACACGAGGCUCCAACGCAUCCACGGAUAGGGCCUUGGACUUGCCGCGAGUCUUGCCUUGGGCGCGUUCUCCCUCUCGGCCGCGGCUUGGUUCCGGUGGAACAUCCACACCAACAACACCCUCUUGUGCUACGUUCGAAGGGUUGGCCAUUGCUUCGUGAGCUAAUUUGCGUGCGUGCAAACCUUAGCUCUGAUACCACUUGUCACGGGAUGAGUGUUUUGCGCAGCUAACCCGUGCGGCACUUAAACAACUUUGCCGAAUGUUGCUAAGUAAGCCUAGAGAUUCUCGAACAAGAGAAGAGAGAGCAAUUGAGCCAAAGAAACUUGUAUUGCACAAAGAGAGAUUACAAUGCUUGUUGGAUACAAAUGCCAAAUGCCAUCCCAUAUUUAUAGGGGAGGCUUUACCUAACUUUGCCUAACUUUGCCUAACUUUGACAAACUUGGUCAAACUCUAGAAUAUUAUACAAUUUCCUAGCUAUUUACAUGUGCUGGAAUUGUAUAAAGUAUUCUAGAAUAUUUACAUGUUCACAUGUGCUAGAGUUGCCUAGAACCUUCCGGAAUUGGGCCAAGCUAGCACUCUUGGCCUUGUG
rnacentral:lncRNA from 1 species